rnacentral:lncRNA from 1 species
GUCAGGAGGCAUCCAUAUAACUGAAGAAAGGCGUGUUUGGCUGCAUUAAAAUAUGCCACGCCAAAACACGUUUUAUCUACCAUUGGGUCGGGGCGGAUCGGGUCAUGUUAUUGGGCAAGAGCCUAAAUUGUUAAAACAGUUAUUGUUGGAAUCACCACAGCUUUCUGGAUCCCCUUUUAAUCGGAAAGGAUCGCUGAUAACAGGAAUGCUGCCACAGGCAGAACGGUUGCAUUGGAGAUUAUUGCUUUCGCUGGAUGUUUGAAGUAAUUGGAUUAGGAUUAGGAUAGAUAAACAUUCAAGAACGAAGGUUUCUCUAACCAUGACUUGUGAGAGUGUGGAUAGAAACUACUAAGGGAAAGACUAACCUAUGCUUCACAAACUAAGGCUCAGCAUAAGGCAAGGAAAGACUUGGGAUAUAGUCUUUUCCAUCGAGUGUGAAUGCUUAAGUCUUCCUUCCAUGGACUCGAGAUAUAGUCAAGCUUGGCAGCUGGGAUUUGUACCAUCAGAAAGAGACACUGGAGCUAUUUCUCAAUUCAAAUUACGACUUCACAAAGGAAUAGCCUGGGCCACAAAGCUUUCGUUUCCCAACAGUUAUUUGAAAUAAAUUCUGUUCACAAAACAAAAUUUCUAAUGUAAGAUUCAGACUGGUAAGAGAGGAAGGUGAAGAAAAUAGAUGACUUCGAAGAUUAUAAUGUUCAUCUUCAGAAUGCACUCAUCAAGCCUUACUAUUCUUAUUCUAUUGUAUGUAAAUUGAGUGGUAAUUUACUUAAUUUUGGUAAAUUAUGUUCAUUAUUAAAAAAUCCCAACUCAGAUAUAAUUAGUGUGAAAUAAUUAUUUGGAGCUCAAUUGGAGUUGAUUCUAGCAAUUGAAAAUUAAUUGGAUUGCAAUUGAUCAAUUGGAAGUAUUAAUGGAGCAUUUAGUAAAAAUUCAUAAAUUUCAAGAGUUAGGGACGAAAUUGAAGACUUCUAAAACGAUCAACUAUUAAUGAUUUUACGAUGAAAGAUUAAAAUUCCAUGUAUUGUCUUAACAAACUACUUCAUAGCUGUAAUCACCACAGCGUUUUGAUAGUCUUCCAUCGUGUGUGAAUGCUCAAGUCUAUUAAUUGAUUAAAAUUCCUAUGGGGAAAGACUCAAUUCUCCCUUCCAUCGUGUGUGAAUGCUCAAGUCUUUUCCAUGUGUGUGAAUGCUCAAGUCUUCCUUCCAUGGACUUGAGAUAUUUCCUGCUAUGUACUUAUCAAGACAGUCAUUUUGAAUCUCAACUUCAUAAAGGAAAAGCUUUUUGUUUCCCAACAGUUAAUUGAAAUAAAUUCUCUUCGAGUGACUUAGUCAAAACAAAUUUUAUUUUAUUUUAUUUUUUUUAAUACAUAUAAGAAUCACAUUGAAAAGAGGAAGAUGCAGAAAACAGAUAAGACAUUGAAGAUUAAAAUGUUCCCCUUCGUCUGCUACAUGUUAUUCUUACGUUUCUUUCCGCUGCUUGUAGUAGGAUUUGACGAUUGUACAACAACUUG